CCUACGGGUGGCAGCAGUGAGGAAUAUUGGUCAAUGGACGCGAGUCUGAACCAGCCAUGCAGCGUGCAGGAUGACUGCUCUAUGGGUUGUAAACUGCUUUUAUAAAGGGAUAAACUGCGAUACGUGUAUCUGUUUGAAAGUAUCUUACGAAUAAGGAUCGGCUAACUCCGUGCCAGCAGCCGCGGUAAUACGGAGGAUCCGAGCGUUAUCCGGAUUUAUUGGGUUUAAAGGGGGCGUAGGCGGGUUGUUAAGUAAGAGGUGAAAUGUUGGGGCUCAACCCCGAAACUGCCACUAAUACUGGUGGACUAGAGAACAGUUGCGGUAGGCGGAAUGCAUGGUGUAGCGGUGAAAUGCUUAGAGAUCACACAGAACACCGAUUGCGAAGGCAGCUUACUAAACUAUAUCUGACGUUGAGGCACGAAAGCGUGGGUAGCAAACAGGAUUAGAUACCCGAGUAGUC
rnacentral:rRNA from 1 species